AGACUAAAACUAAGAAGGAUUAAAAUGACUAAAUGUGACUAAAACUAAUAAGCAUUUUCAUCUAAAGACUAAGACUAAAUCAAAAAUAGCUGCCAAAAUUAACACUGGUCUGAAGUAAAGAACAAAGAGACACACCUUUUCUCUGUCUCCGUGUACCCUUUCUUUACCUACAAAUAUUACAUUGGGGAAACUUGCCAAGGAAUGCCCUUUGUUUUUUAGCUUGGUUGGGAUGGAAGGGACUUUUCUUCAGGAGGUGGUACCCAUCUUUCAGUGCCUCUAUAAAAAGGCACUGGAAACAGUGUCCACACCUCUGGUCUCGAUACCCCUAACUUCCCCAGAGGAUCCUGGGCAUUACUUCCCCAAUCUGCCUCCUGUGAGGGACAGAGGCACGUACACUACAGACAGGUGUAAAAAGGAGGCCAGUGACUGUAGGAAGACAGCAGGCAGACACCCUUACCUGAUCCCUGGCAUUUUCACCCUGUUCUGCACACAAGGUGUUUGUCUUAGGUUUUCAAUAAUGGAGCAAGUGGAGUCAGUGAACGUGCCGUUUACCAUACUCUGCACACGUUUUCGACAAUGCCCCAAGAUAGUCAUAUAUGACAAUGCCUGUCAGCUGCAAACAUACUGCUUGCGGAGGGACCCAGUUUUUUUUUUAGAGAGACUUGGUUUCUUGUGGAUCGUUUGCACUGGCGCAACCAUUCAGGUGAUAUGCAGUGCUUUUUAUACCGGGUACUUGCCUUUUUAUAUUGCAAAUGCUAGUCAAUGAAACUGUUGUGUUGGUUACACAUGUAUAAUGUGUAAUAUCUUGUUAAAAUCUUGUUAUUAUGAUCAAACCAACACCAUUAAGCUAAUACAUCUUUUUUUAAAUUAUUAUUUAUGGGUGUAACAUUGGAUACA